UACAGAGGGUGCGAGCGUUGUCCGGAAUCACUGGGCGUAAAGGGCGCGUAGGUGGCGAGCCAAGUCCAUGGUGAAAGCUCGAUGCUCAACAUCGAGUCGGCCACGGAUACUGGUGCGCUUGAGCACUGUAGAGGCUAAUGGAAUUCCGGGUGUAGCGGUGGAAUGCGUAGAGAUCCGGAAGAACACCGGUGGCGAAGGCGACUUCCUGGCCUGUUCUUGACGCUGAGGCGCGAAAGCUAGGGUAGCAAACGGG
rnacentral:rRNA from 1 species